CAUCAGAUCCCUUUAGAGGUGAGCUGAUGGAAGCACUUGAGCCUUUUAUGAAAAGUGUUUCUUCAUCGCCGCCGUCUUCCCUUCCCACCACCACCGCUUCUCCUUCCUUUUCCUCCGCCCCUCUCCUCCCUUCUUUCCCCUUUACCUCCUACGACUUCCUCUCUUUCCCAAACCAGCCCAAUUUCUACCACGACGGUUGCUCCACCUCUUCUAUGACCCAAGUGUUUUCAGAUGGGUUCUUUGAGCAGCAACCGCCGUCAAUCGGGCUGAACCACCUCACCUCCUCCCAGAUCCACCAGAUCCAAGCUCAGAUCCAGUCUCAAUCCCAACCCCAACAGCCCCAAAUCUCUUGGGAUAACUACCA
rnacentral:lncRNA from 1 species